GGACUACCGGGGUAUCUAAUCCUGUUUGAUCCCCACGCUUUCGCACCUCAGCGUCAAUAUCGAGCCAGUGAGCCGCCUUCGCCACUGGUGUUCCUGGUAAUAUCUACGAAUUUCACCUCUACACUACCAAUUCCACUCACCUCUCUCGAAUUCAAGACUCCCAGUAUCAAAGGCAGUUCCGAGGUUGAGCCCCGGGAUUUCACCCCUGACUUAAAAGUCCGCCUACGUGCGCUUUACGCCCAGUGAUUCCGAACAACGCUAGCCCCCUUCGUAUUACCGCGGCGGCUGGCAC
rnacentral:rRNA from 1 species